rnacentral:pre_miRNA from 1 species
UGUUAAAAAUUUAAUUUAUUUUUAUUAUUAAAAACUGACGUGAUUGAUGAAAUAAAUAAACAGUUACACGUGACAUGCCAUAUGUCCCUCGUGCUGAGGUGCAUGAACCAUUUUUUAAUAGUAAUUUAAUGGAAAUUUUAAUA